UACGUAGGGUGCGAGCGUUAAUCGGAAUUACUGGGCGUAAAGCGUGCGCAGGCGGUUUUGUAAGACAGUUGUGAAAUCCCCGGGCUCAACCUGGGAACUGCAUCUGUGACUGCAUCGCUGGAGUGCGGCAGAGGGGGAUGGAAUUCCGCGUGUAGCAGUGAAAUGCGUAGAUAUGCGGAGGAACACCGAUGGCGAAGGCAAUCCCCUGGGCCUGCACUGACGCUCAUGCACGAAAGCGUGGGGAGCAAACAGG
rnacentral:rRNA from 1 species